GAUCCCAGAGUGAUCCCUGUGGUCCCAGAGGGGUCCCUGUGAUCCCAGAGUGAUCCUGAGCUGUUCCCUUGGGGCUCAAACCAACACCAGUGAAAUCCUUCAUCCUCCUCCUUGCCUGAUGGGGCCAAAAGGCUGCGACAAACCCGGGGAUGUUGUUCCUGUGGACUCAAUGACUUGAUGACCAGCAGGAAACAUCGAAAUUGCCCCAUAAAAACUGUGUGUUGGUGGAGUUUUUAAUUUGUAGGAUGACUCGUGGUGCUGCAAUCGCUCUGAACCGAUGGCUCGCCCUCAGGGUGGGGUGAAGGGUGAAGGAAUAACCCUUUGACAUAUAAUUCUGAACAAAUUCCCACUAAUUCAGCCAUAAAUAGCUGAAGGCCUGAUCAACUUUGUAGAAACCUGCACGUUUUGUCCUUUUUUUAAUCCCGUUUGUUCCCUAUCCCACCAGAGGCCACCACGAACCUCAGCUGGGGGGGAAAAAACAAACAAAACCAAAAAAAAACAGAAAGAGGAAGAAAGCAAAGCAAUGGAAGGGGCACCUGCAGCUCUGAAUGGCCAAAGCUCCCGUUUCACGAGGAGAUUCAGAAGUGGAACUUGGAUCCCUCCAGAAACAACUUCUCCUCCCGCUGCGUCGGGAGCGACUCCCGGAGCCAGGGAAUGAUCUCAGGCCGCUGAGAUCAGAUUCUGCUGAGUGUGUGCAGGGUUAGGCAUGAUGUUCCUUGCCCUUUCCAGAGAAGUUCUCCCCCUCUCCAAACCGUGCCUUGAGGUUUGAUUUUCCUCGGGAAGCCUUGGCCCUUCUUCUGCUGCCUCGGCAUCUCCGCCUUGGCCUUUGCCGUCCCCGUUUAUCCACCUGAGGCCUGGGGUUCCUGGAAUUGCCUGCGCUUUUCCUGGAAGAAGCGUCGCAGGGGCGGAAUGGCUUGUGCAGGAGGCCUUCAAAAGGGCUGAGAAGGUGUCCAGGAGGCACAGAGGCAGCUGGAGUUUGGAUUCCACCCUCCCGAGGGGGUGUUUUCUGGUCUCCGGGAACCGCUCGCGCCCGACGUGCCCUGGCUGGAGGGGGAAGGUUGAUGGAAGAUCCUGCCGUGCUGUGCUGGCCAAAAUUGGGCUUUGUGGAAGGAACAUUCCAAAAAAAAAAAUUAAAAAAAAAAUGCAGAGGCUCAAACUCCUCAUUUCCAUGGGGGGAUUAAAAUGACUUCAUCACCACCGGGCUCGAGUUGUACCCUCACAACCUUUGGGUGGGAAGAGCAGUUCAGGUGAAUCAAGGGCUGACUUUAGGCCUUUUUGCACAGGCCACGAUCCUGAAAAAUAUCGGGAAAAACCAGCAGCUUUGCUCUCGUGGCUGUUUUUCAGCUUUGGGCGGGUGGGGUCGGGAGGAGGGUUUGCCAGAACUCUCCAGAGCCAGUUCGUUCCUCCUGUGAGAUCUCUGGGGCUGAUAUUUUCUUGAAAACUCCAGAGGUUUGGAUUAGUCUCCAGCCCCCAUCGUUCUGGAGGGCUUCCCACCCCUUGUGAGCCUGUACACGCCGUUUUUCCAUUUCUCUGGGGGCGAUUAAAAAAUAAAAAUAAAUAAAAUAUCCCCAAAAA